AUACAUUGAAGGAAAAUGAGCGAAGAAAUGAAAAUGAGAAAGCUUCCAAAAACUCCCCUUGAUGUUUUCUGUUUUUUUUUUGUUCUUGUUUUUGUCUGCAACUUUCUCU
rnacentral:ribozyme from 14 species